rnacentral:rRNA from 1 species
UACGUAGGGUGCGAGCGUUAAUCGGAAUUACUGGGCGUAAAGCGUGCGCAGGCGGUUCGUUAAGUCAGCUGUGAAAGCCCCGGGCUCAACCUGGGAACUGCGGUUGAAACUGGCGAACUAGAAUCUGGCAGAGGGGGGUGGAAUUCCACGUGUAGCAGUGAAAUGCGUAGAGAUGUGGAGGAACACCGAUGGCGAAGGCAGCCCCCUGGGCUGAGAUUGACGCUCAGGCACGAAAGCGUGGGGAGCAAACGGG